CAACCCUUAAGCCCUGGUUGCUUAGCGUUGGGAGCCUACCGGACCCCGUCCCGUAGCUCCCCAAAGUCAGUGGCGGAGCCGGUUUAACACUCCAGACGUAGUAGCUUUUACACAUCGCCUGUAGCCUAAGCCCGGCGCCCUGCCGUAAAACACCCCCCAAUGUAUAGG
rnacentral:misc_RNA from 1 species